GGCUCCGAGAUACGCUCUUGCAGCUCGUAUUCUCAAAACCCAGGAGAGGCUCUCGACGACCGAUAAUUCGUUUUAGAACGAGCAGAGAGUACAAACGAUGGAAAACUGAAGAAGGCAGACAAAAUAGCAAAGCUCAUCAACGAGGCAGUUCAUUAAUUUUGAUAAGUGGGAAAUAAAUGGCUGCAAGAUACGUAUAGACUUUUACCUCGUACAUUACAACUGUUAAUUAUCUCAAGGCGAAAUGCAAAACAUUGAAAAAGGCGAAGGACAACAAAGCACGUGUAGCGGAGCUUAAGAAGAGGCUCACACACGACUUACUUGAGGUAGGUCAUCGAUUCUACGAUGACCGGUAAAGAAAUGACGUAACCUGAUUAUCGUCAUGAAGAGAUGAGCGACAAACGCAUUCUCAGAGCAAUGCCCUGUUCGUAAGAGUGGUCUAGUUCCAGACUCCAAUGCAAUAUCUCGCAUAGAUCAUUGGAACUCAAUUUAAAAUGCGUAACGAAGUAAGUUUACACGAGAUCCUAUGUAAUAAAUUAGAAAUUACUGUUUCUACAAUAUUCGAAGAUCUCGCAAUUAUCUUUGGAACGAAAAUUCAUUAAUUAAGAAAGUAAACACGAAUUAUAUUCGUGUACCUAACGUUGCAAGAAUUCUGCAAAUAUUGUAUUGUAUUAAAUCAAGUUCGUCACGAUUUGCACAUCUGACUUUGACUCAUUUUGAUACCGGACUCAAUGAUGUACGAACUAGAAAUCUGUAUAUCGAAUAAGGUGCAUAUUUUCGAAGCGGAAAGAUCUGCCGCGAUCAGGAUCUCGUUUUAUACGUGUACGUAUUUAUCGCGUCUGGGUCGGAAUACGUACGUCUCAUACAUAAAUAGAUAGACAUGUGUGUCGCAGACUCCGUGCAUCAAUUCCAAGGACCUUUUCGAGCGCACUGCCUCUCGAGGAUUUCAAGUUCUUUUUAUCCGCCGUUCAAGGCGAACUCGUAAGGCGGGAGGAAAAGGAAGAAAAAAAAUCCAACCGAGACACUAACACCGGACGGAAAAUAUACUGACCCACUGACUCAUAGGGGGAUUUCCGGCAUUAGCUUGCAAUUGCUAUGCGGCAAACUAUCAUCAAUCGUGCAACGUUCUUAAAAGUCUUGUUCUGUCUCCUAAGCCGUUUGUUACUAACGUGCACAAAUUAAUUCGUGUCUGUCGAUUCGAAUAUCAGGUGAAUUGUAAUUCAUUACAAGAACAUAAUAAGUCGCCUAGUCACCAAAUUCCGCAAUGGAUCAAGAAGCCACAACGCCUUGCUACAAUUUGAUAAUUGGAGUGUAGGAGGACUAAUAAGACGUGGAGACUGCUGAAGAUUAAUUUGUCAUAAAACACGGAACAUCUGUUGACUGAGGAGCAACUUUGGCCUCAACCAAUUUGAAAAUUAUAUCAGAAGUUUAAUAAUACACAGUCAGGGCAGCUGUUCUUAAGAAGACUUCCAGAACGCGAGGCAUAGUUUAACAACGACCUAGACAUCAUCGCGGGUCUCUCUCUCUUUCUAUCUCUGAAAGAGAGACGGGUUAAAUUUAUAACGGACGCAUUGUAUCCGCGUUUCUGAGGAGAGAAUAUGUACGUGUACGCAUGUGUUCGUACGUUGGUGGAAUGUUCAAACGAAGAAACGAUCGGACGAUUUCGCGACCGCCCUAGCUGCUAAUAAAAGACGUUGCGCAACCGUGGACGUUGGUGUUGCGCUGUGGAUAAUAAUAAGAACUGUAGAUCGAGAAAAGGACAAGAGAGAACUGUAUCUCUCUCUCUCUCUUCCUCUCUCUACUUUAUAGCUUCGUCUUUCUCUCGAUAUCUCAUCGUAUCGAUGAAUCGGUGUGUGCACACGCGAAUGCACGAGCCUUAUAAUUUUGCCAUGUACGUGUUACGUUCAACACGCAUACAACAAAAUCUCGAAUCAAACCUGUUUGGAUCGCUUACAACUAGAAAUCAACUUGAUCGAUUUCAUCAUUUUUAAAUUCGAUACUUUGACCAACAGUUUUUUUUUUUAUUGUGACAAAUUCUUAUUUCGACAGAAUCUUGUUAAUAUUCAAUUAACUUUGAAUUGAUAUUUUCUCUCUUGGUAUUUCUUAAUCUUAGUCUUCUUGGCUUGAUUUCGUUGUACUUCGCUCGUCUGGGAAAAAUUAUGUUCCAUUCAGCGCCAUCUAACUUUCGCUCGAUGGCAACAUUGCAUUUAACUUCAUCUUCCGUACGUUCACUUUCGAUGAAGAAACGUUGGGAUCAUCAACAUCACGUUGCCAUGUUUAAUUAAUCCAUUUUGCAUCGGUAGCGCGUGUACGCGCUCGAUUUACCGGGUUACUAUCCCCGAAGCGCUUGGCUUUGCAGUUUCAAUGGAAUUACAAUAGUAUGUGGAAAGUUUUUCACAGCACACAGUAGAUUCUAGGAUUCUUCAGUUCGUAAAUCAUUUACAAUUUAAUUAUUUAACUCUUAAUAAUAAAAAUUGUUUUACGCUUUUUAUACUACGAUGCACGUGCAUAUUGCUCAGGCGGAUAAACGAGCAUCGCUGCAUUCGUAGAACCUCGUGCUUACUAAUCGACGUUAACUACCUUGCCUCGGUAACCAUAGUCUGCCUUCCGCAUCUCGAUUUUACUUGCUUGCUAAUAAAAAGCAUAGGCUGCUCUCAGGGAUAAACAGAUGAAAUGUGAAUUAUAUAUAAAAUUGUGCCAUUUACAAUGUUAUAUCCGAAUUACAUCUAAAGCUUUGUAAAGUU